GUUGUCUUUGUCAAUUAUUAUAUAGGUAAAAAGAUUAUAAGUAUACAAAAAAGUAUACUAACAAAAUCGGCAAAUACGCAAUUUGUGUGUUUUACAAAUAUAAUUCUGUUUCAGUAAGACCAACAUGAGUCAUAAAAAAUGUGCAGUAUUGCACUGUAAUGGUACAGGUAAACGAAUGUUUACCUUUCCAAAGCCUACCAAAAAUAAAAAUAAGUUUUUAAAAUGGUUAUUGGCAUGCGGAGAUGAAAAAUUAUUAAAAAUAGCAGAGAAAAAAUAGCCAGCAGAACUAUUUGUGAGAAUCAUUUUGAGGAAAGAUAUAAGUUUCCAAAGAAAUUAAGCAAUGAUGCUAUGCCUACUUUAUUAUUACCAGAACCAAUUAAUAUUAUACAACAUGAAAGGAUUGAUGUUAGGAGACAUUUGGAAGUCCUCUGGACGUCCUCUGGACGUCUUUCAGAUAUUUUUUAAGAUCUUUUGUUGUCUUAUCAUAAUCAAAUUUUCUUUUUAACAAUCUCUUAUGUACUAAUAUUACUUUAAUUUAAUUAGAAUAUGAAGAAACAAACCAAAUUGAAGAUAUAGUUCAUAAUAGCAAUCGUCAAGAAUGAUCAUCAGGUAAGAUAUAAGUAAUGACCUAGACAGUGCAGAUCUGCACGAAAUAUCUGAAAGAUGUCCAGAGGACAUUCUACAUUUUAAAUAUGUCUCCAAAACAUUCUCAAGAUAUCCCUUGAAAAUUUUUACUGUCUGAGGAUUUAUUUAUUCGUUACAAUUUAAUCAAUUUUAUGUUAAAAUUAUUCAAAACUUGUAUAAUGCAGUAGGAAAACAUGAAAGAAAAAGGUGUGAUUUAUUUUAAAGAGAAAAUAAACAGAGUACUU